rnacentral:rRNA from 1 species
CCUACGGGAGGCAGCAGUGAGGAAUAUUGGUCAAUGGGCGUAAGCCUGAACCAGCCAAGCCGCGUGAGGGAUGAAGGUUCUAUGGAUCGUAAACCUCUUUUAUAAGGGAAUAAAGUGCGGGACGUGUCCCGUUUUGUAUGUACCUUAUGAAUAAGGAUCGGCUAACUCCGUGCCAGCAGCCGCGGUAAUACGGAGGAUCCGAGCGUUAUCCGGAUUUAUUGGGUUUAAAGGGUGCGUAGGCGGCCUUUUAAGUCAGCGGUGAAAGUCUGUGGCUCAACCAUAGAAUUGCCGUUGAAACUGGGAGUCUUGAGUAUGUGUGAGGCAGGCGGAAUGCGGGGUGUAGCGGUGAAAUGCUUAGAUAUCACGCAGAACCCCGAUUGCGAAGGCAGCCUGCCAAGCCAUGACUGACGCUGAUGCACGAAAGCGUGGGGAUCAAACAGGAUUAGAUACCCUUGUAGUC